UACGAAGGGGGCUAGCGUUGCUCGGAAUCACUGGGCGUAAAGCGCACGUAGGCGGCUUUCUAAGUCAGGGGUGAAAUCCCGGAGCUCAACUCCGGAACUGCCUUUGAUACUGGGAGGCUCGAGUCCGGGAGAGGUGAGUGGAACUGCGAGUGUAGAGGUGAAAUUCGUAGAUAUUCGCAAGAACACCAGUGGCGAAGGCGGCUCACUGGCCCGGUACUGACGCUGAGGUGCGAAAGCGUGGGGAGCAAACAGG
rnacentral:rRNA from 1 species